rnacentral:misc_RNA from 1 species
AAGCAAGAGGCUUGGGCUGUGGAGCAUGAAAAGCCCCACAAGCCGCAGCCGCAACCCAAAGGAGCAGGAAGAAAAGACGAAGAUUUUGUCUCCUACGAAGAGAAAAAAAAAUCUUUACAGUUUGGGUUCUCCAAGAAGAAAUUCAAUCUGAAUCUCUGGGUCGCUCUAUUGAUAGAUCCUGUGAAGCUGGACAGGAUACAGAAAAAAAAAAUAUAUCACAGUGAAGUUAACAGUUUCUUUCCUAGGAUGAGGAAGCAAGAUAUUUGGUGGCUUGGACAUCUAUGGUGUCAUUUUGUAGGUCCUUGUAUUCUUAUCAAACCAAAACUGAAUGCGAUUGUGUAAAUGGAAAAGUUUUCUUUGAAAAAAUGGGAAAUUGAAGAUAGGUCCAUCCGAGUCUUGGUUCUGUAACACUGUAUACGAAUACUAUAAAGUUAUAUUACUUCGUUGUUAACUGCAAGAUUUUUAUUUGUUUCUGUUUCUGAUUAGACACUUUCGAUAUUUUAUCAUGAGUUAAAAUUUGCGGU